UGGGGAAUAUUGGACAAUGGGCGCAAGCCUGAUCCAGCCAUGCCGCGUGAGUGAUGAAGGCCUUAGGGUUGUAAAGCUCUUUCGCCGGUGAAGAUAAUGACGGUAACCGGAGAAGAAGCCCCGGCUAACUUCGUGCCAGCAGCCGCGGUAAUACGAAGGGGGCUAGCGUUGCUCGGAAUCACUGGGCGUAAAGCGCACGUAGGCGGAUCGUUAAGUCAGGGGUGAAAUCCUGGAGCUCAACUCCAGAACUGCCCUUGAUACUGGCGAUCUCGAGUUCGAGAGAGGUUGGUGGAACUCCGAGUGUAGAGGUGAAAUUCGUAGAUAUUCGGAAGAACACCAGUGGCGAAGGCGGCCAACUGGCUCGAUACUGACGCUGAGGUGCGAAAGCGUGGGGAGCAAAACAGGAUUAGAUACCCUGGUAGUCCACGCCC
rnacentral:rRNA from 1 species